rnacentral:rRNA from 1 species
GAAAAUAACUAUGAUUCCCUUAGUAACGGCGAGUGAACAGGGAAAAGCCCAAAUUUGUAAUCUGGCACUUUUUACGAGUGUCCGAGUUGUAAUUUGUAGAACUGUUAUCCGCGCUGGACCAUGUACAAGUCUGUUGAAAAGCAGCAUCAUUGAAGGUGAAAAUCCUGUAGAUGAUAUGGACUACCAGUGCAUUUGUGAUACGGUUUCUAAGAGUCGAGUUGUUUGGGAAUGCAGCUCAAAGUGGGUGGUAAAUUCCAUCUAAGGCUAAAUAUAAGUGAGAGACCGAUAGCAAACAAGUACCGUGAGGGAAAGAUGAAAAGAACUUUGAAAAUAGAGUUAACAGUACGUGAAAUUGCUGAAAGGGAAACGUUUGAAGUUAGUAUUGUAUUCGUUGGAUCAGCUUCGCAAGGAGUGUAUUCUGAUGAUAAGCAAGUCAACAUCAAUCUUUGGGUGUUGGAUAAGGGUUUUGAGGAUGUAGCAAUUUAAUUGUGUUAUAACUUGAGACUUGGAUACAAUGCCUGGGAUUGAGGAACGCGUAGUAAGCUUUGAGCGGAUUCGAAAGGAUCUCCUUACUAUGGAUGUUGGUGAAAUAUCUUUAAGCGAC